rnacentral:misc_RNA from 1 species
GUGUCUAGGUUUUUUGGUUGAUCGAGCAAACAUUUUGAGCGUGUGUGUGUGUGAAAAAGAGGGGGCGGCGCGUGCGCGCACAGCCCCCCACCGAAAAAAUACCACAUAAAAGGGGGGUGAAAUCAGGACGGAUUCAUUGAUGAUCCUUCCGCAGGUUCACCUACGGAAA